ACAUUUUUCCUUAUGCCUUUAAUUGGAAAUACCAUACAGAUCCCGACUCUGAAAAACCACCAUAAUAAAUCUCACAUAUUACCCAUAAUCCUUCACAACAUGACGUCACCUCUUGUGAAGAACAAAAUUCCACCAAUCUUAACCAUGAUAAUUCACACAUGCCUAAUGAUUAUUAACCUGACACCAGUUGCCCUGAACUUGACA
rnacentral:lncRNA from 1 species